AGCGUAUAUUAAAGUUGUUGCAGUUAAAAAGCUCGUAGUUGGAUUUCUGUUAAUAAUUUAUAUAAAAUAUUUUGAUGAAUAUUUAUAUAAUAUUAACAUAAUUCAUAUUACUAUAUAUUUUAGUAUAUGAAAUUUUACUUUGAGAAAAUUAGAGUGCUUAAAGCAGGCAUAUGCCUUGAAUACUCCAGCAUGGAAUAAUAUUAAAGAUUUUUAUCUUUCUUAUUGGUUCUAAGAUAAGAAUAAUGAUUAAUAGGGACAGUUGGGGGCAUUUGUAUUUAACAGUCAGAGGUGAAAUUCUUAGAUUUGUUAAAGACAAACUAAUGCGAAAGCAUUUGCCAAGGAUGUUUUCAUUAAUCAAGAACGAAAGUUAGGGGAUCGAAGACGAUCAGAUACCGUCGUAGUCUUAACCAUAAAC
rnacentral:rRNA from 1 species